UGAGGAAUAUUGGUCAAUGGUCGCUAGACUGAACCAGCCAAGUAGCGUGCGGGAUGAAGGCCCUCCGGGUCGUAAACCGCUUUUAGACGGGGAUAAAAGGGCGUACGUGUACGCCGUAUUGCAUGUACCGUCAGAAAAACGGACCGGCUAAUUCCGUGCCAGCAGCCGCGGUAAUACGGAGGGUCCGGGCGUUAUCCGAUUUAUUGGGUUUAAAGGGAGCGUAGCGGACUUUCAAGUCAGUGGUAAAAUCGUGUGGCUCAACCAUACCUCGCCAUUGAAACUGGAAGUCUGGAGUGCACACAGGGGUGCCGGAAUUCAUGGUGUAGCGGUGAAAUGCUUAGAUAUCAUGAAGAACUCCGAUCGCGAAGGCAAGUGCCCGGGGUGCAACUGACGCUGAGGCUCGAAGGUGCGGGUAUCGAACAGGAUUAGAUACC
rnacentral:rRNA from 1 species